GAUGAAGAACGUAGCGAAACGCGAUACUUGGUGUGAAUUGCAGAAUCCCGUGAACCAUCGAGUCUUUGAACGCAAGUUGCGCCCGAAGCCAUCAGGUUGAGGGCACGUCUGCCUGGGCGUCACAUAUCGUUGCCCAAUGCCUAUUGCAGUGCAAUAGGAAUUUCUAGGGCGAAUGAUGGCUUCCCGUGAGCGUUGUUGCCUCGCGGUUGGUUGAAAAUCGAGUCCUUGGUAGGGUGUGCCAUGGUAGAUGGUGGUCGAGUUAGAACGAUACCGAUCAUGUGCAUGCUCCCCAAAAUAUGGCCUCUAUGACCCACACGCGUCUUUUGACGCUCAUGACGAGACCUCAGGUCAGGCGGGGCUACCCGCUGAAUUUAAGCAUAUCAAUAAACGGAGGA
rnacentral:misc_RNA from 1 species